rnacentral:tRNA from 1 species
GCCGUCGUAGCACAACAGGUAGUGCGGCUGACUUGUAAUCAGCAGGUUGUUGGUUCAAUUCCAAUCGGUGGCUCCA